UCGAGAAUCUUCGGCAAUGGGCGCAAGCCUGACCGAGCGACGCCGCGUGUGGGAUGAAGGCCUUCGGGUUGUAAACCACUGUCGGAGGGGAGGAAAUUCUAUGGGGUUCACCCCAUAGAUUGACCUAGCCUCAAAGGAAGGACGGGCUAAGUUCGUGCCAGCAGCCGCGGUAAGACGAACCGUCCGAACGUUAUUCGGAAUUACUGGGCUUAAAGGGUGCGUAGGCGGCCCUGAAAGUUGGGAGUGAAAUCCCUCGGCUCAACCGAGGAAUUGCGCCCAAAACUACAGGGCUUGAGGGAGACAGAGGUGAGCGGAACUUGCGGUGGAGCGGUGAGAUGCGUUGAUAUCGCAAGGAACACCAGGGGCGAAAGCGGCUCACUGGGUCUUUUCUGACGCUGAGGCACGAAAGCUAGGGGAGCGAACGG
rnacentral:rRNA from 1 species